UUCCCCCUCUCCCUCUGGAUUACGGAUUCUUCCUAUCUAAGCUGCAUUGUUUUAUUUACUAUUUUCUCUGUUUUCUCGAGGGCAAAUUGGUUGAAAUGGUGGCAGCGCAAUGGACGAGGACGACAAAACUGGUGAUUCCAGGUGGGGUCCGAUAAGACCAGACAAUUAGAAAUUAAGGGGAUACUAGUCAAAGACAGUCCAAAGUCAAGAAGACGUGACGAUCAGAAGUCAAAGGACUUGACAGUCAGCAGUUAGGAGGAGAAAGGAGUUAGACCGCUUGACAUCAUCAGCCACAUAAUUCUCGAUCGGCUGGAACAGAGCUGAUAAACUGAACACAAGUUUUUUAUGAUCACGACCCACUGUCUUCAAUCAUGUGGACGUCAGGUUUUGACAGUCAUCCCUAGAGUUCAUUCUUUUUGCAAGCCUUUGGCAUAUAGAUUUUAGUAGUUUCUUCAUCGCCAACACGAUCCUUUAUUGAUAGCCUCUGAAAUCAUGUAUAGUAUAAUACCUCUGAAAGCUAUUGUCUAGCAGGAAAUGAAGUUUAUUUGGUAGCCAAAGAUACUAUAUGUUUCAUGUUUGGAAUCUGUUUAUGUCAGUAAUCCUUUGUGUCACCCAGCUGGUCGUUUUGGGUAGCUGUUAUCGUUUAAACAGUACAAAUUCUACUAAUCAAGGAUUUUGAGUUUCAUCUA